rnacentral:rRNA from 1 species
CUACGGGGGGCACCAGUGGGGAAUCUUGGACAAUGGGCGCAAGCCUGAUCCAGCCAUGCCGCGUGAGUGAUGAAGGCCUUAGGGUCGUAAAGCUCUUUCGCCAGAGAUGAUAAUGACAGUAUCUGGUAAAGAAACCCCUGCUAACUCCGUGCCAGCAGCCGCGGUAAUACGGAGGGGGUUAGCGUUGUUCGGAAUUACUGGGCGUAAAGCGCGCGUAGGCGGAUUAGUCAAUCAGAGGUGAAAUCCCAGGGCUCAACCCUGGAACUGCCUUUGAUACUGCUAGUCUUGAGUUCGAGAGAGGUGAGUGGAAUUCCGAGUGUAGAGGUGAAAUUCGUAGAUAUUCGGAGGAACACCAGUGGCGAAGGCGGCUCACUGGCUCGAUACUGACGCUGAGGUGCGAAAGUGUGGGGAGCAAACAGGAUUAGAUACCCGAGUAGUC